UAAGGUUCUUGUAGUUGAGUUA
rnacentral:tRNA from 4 species